GGUCUAGUAGUGUAGUGGUUAUCACGUCUGUUUCACUCACAGAAUGUCUCGAGUUCAAAUCUCGACUGGACCU
rfam:Cyberlindnera jadinii NRRL Y-1542 unplaced genomic scaffold CYBJAscaffold_4, whole genome shotgun sequence.